AUUGAACGCUGGCGGCAGGCUUAACACAUGCAAGUCGAGCGCGCGGCGGACGGGUGAGUAAUGUCUGGGAGACUGCCUGAUGGAGGGGGAUAACUACGGUAGACGGUACCUAUUACAGCAUACCCUCAGAUGUGCCCAGAGGGGAUUAGCUCGUAGGGGGGGUAAUGGCUCACCUAGGCGACGCUCCCUAGCUGGUCUGAGAGGAUGACCAGCCACACGGGAACUGAGACACGGUCCAGACUCCUACGGGAGGCAGCAGUGGGGAAUAUUGCACAAUGGGGGCAACCCUGAUGCAGCCAUGCCGCGUGUGUGAAGAAGGCCUUCGGGUUGUAAAGCACUUUCAGCGAGGAGGCGUUACUCGCAGAAGAAGCACCGGCUAACUCCGUGCCAGCAGCCGCGGUAAUUC
rnacentral:rRNA from 1 species